AGGACGAACGCUGGCGGCGUGCUUAACACAUGCAAGUCGAACGGAAAGGCCCCUUCGGGGGUACUCGAGUGGCGAACGGGUGAGUAACACGUGGGUGAUCUGCCCUGCACUUCGGGAUAAGCCUGGGAAACUGGGUCUAAUACCGGAUAUGACCAUGGGAUGCAUGUCUUGUGGUGGAAAGCUUUUGCGGUGUGGGAUGGGCCCGCGGCCUAUCAGCUUGUUGGUGGGGUUAAGGCCUACCAAGGCGACGACGGGUAGCCGGCCUGAGAGGGUGACCGGCCACACUGGGACUGAGAUACGGCCCAGACUCCUACGGGAGGCAGCAGUGGGGAAUAUUGCACAAUGGGCGCAAGCCUGAUGCAGCGACGCCGCGUGAGGGACGACGGCCUUCGGGUUGUAAACCUCUUUCAGCACAGACGAAGCGCAAGUGACGGUAUGUGCAGAAGAAGGACCGGCCAACUACGUGCCAGCAGCCGC
rnacentral:rRNA from 1 species